rnacentral:rRNA from 1 species
ACACUCCUACGGGAGGCAGCAGUGGGGAAUAUUGCACAAUGGGCGCAAGCCUGAUGCAGCCAUGCCGCGUGUAUGAAGAAGGCCUUCGGGUUGUAAAGUACUUUCAGCGGGGAGGAAGGCAAUACGGUUAAUAACCGUGUUGAUUGACGUUACCCGCAGAAGAAGCACCGGCUAACUCCGUGCCAGCAGCCGCGGUAAUACGGAGGGUGCAAGCGUUAAUCGGAAUUACUGGGCGUAAAGCGCACGCAGGCGGUCUGUCAAGUCGGAUGUGAAAUCCCCGGGCUCAACCUGGGAACUGCAUUCGAAACUGGCAGGCUUGAGUCUUGUAGAGGGGGGUAGAAUUCCAGGUGUAGCGGUGAAAUGCGUAGAGAUCUGGAGGAAUACCGGUGGCGAAGGCGGCCCCCUGGACAAAGACUGACGCUCAGGUGCGAAAGCGUGGGGAGCAAACAGGAUUAGAUACCCCGGUAGUCCCA